rnacentral:lncRNA from 1 species
CUAACGCUUACAUACAGCUUUAAUGUAAACCUAUUAAGUGAGAUGAAAGUGGUUUUCUCAGUCAAGUGUUUGGAAUAUUGAGGAGUAAUAGGUAUCAUUUAACAGAAAGUUUUAAGCGGCACAUUUAAAUAAUUUGUUGACCAGUAUUGAAUAACCCUAAAUGGACAGUGUGAAGUAGGGUGUUCUUUUGGUCACUUAGCAUGCCUUCCCACUCAACUCAUGAACUAGAUUGUACAGAGGUUUAUUCCCUAGGGUGUUAAUG